rnacentral:rRNA from 1 species
UACAUGGGGUGCAAACGUUGCUCGGAAUUAUUGGGCGUAAAGCGCGCGUAGGCGGUUACUCAAGUCGGAUGUGAAAGCCCUCGGCUUAACUGAGGAAGUGCACCCGAAACUGAGUAGCUAGAGUACUAAAGAGGGUCGCGGAAUUCCCGGUGUAGAGGUGAAAUUCGUAGAUAUCGGGAAGGAACACCGGUGGCGAAGGCGGCGACCUGGGUAGAUACUGACGCUGAGGCGCGAAAGCGUGGGAGCAACAGG